GAUGAAGAACGCAGUGAAAUGCGAUAAGUAAUGCGAAUUGCAGAAUCCGUGAGUCAUCGAAUCUUUGAACGCACAUUGCGCCCGCCAGUAUUCUGGCGGGCAUGCCUGUUCGAGCGUCAUUUCAACCCUCAAGCACAGCUUGGUGUUGGGACUCGCGUUAAUUCGCGUUCCUCAAAUUGAUUGGCGGUCACGUCGAGCUUCCAUAGCGUAGUAGUAAAACCCUCGUUACUGGUAAUCGUCGCGGCCACGCCGUUAAACCCCAACUUCUGAAUGUUGACCUCGGAUCAGGUAGGAAUACCCGCUGAACUUAAGCAUAUCAAUAAGCGGAGGA
rnacentral:misc_RNA from 1 species